rnacentral:rRNA from 1 species
CCUACGGGGUGCAGCAGUGAGGAAUAUUGGUCAAUGGGCGUAAGCCUGAACCAGCCAAGUCGCGUGAGGGAUGAAGGUUCUAUGGAUCGUAAACCUCUUUUAUAAGGGAAUAAAGGGUGGGACGUGUCCUGUUUUGUAUGUAACUUAUGAAUAAGGAUCGGCUAACUCCGGGCCAGAAGCCGCGGUAAUACGGAGGAUCCGAGCGUUAGCCGGAUUUAUUGGGUUUAAAGGGUGCGUAGGCGGCCUUUGAAGUCAGCGGUGAAAGUCUGUGGCUCAACCAUAGAAUUGACGUUGAAACUGGACGGCUUGAGUAUGUUGUAGGCAGGCGGAAUGCGUGGUGUAGCGGUGAAAUGCUUAGAUUUCACGCAGAACCCCGAUUGCGAAGGCAGCCUGCCAAGCCAUGACUGACGCUGAUGCACGAACGCGUGGGGAUCAAACAGGAUUAGAUACCCCAGUAGUC